UGGGAAUUUGGACAAUGGGCGAAAGCCUGAUCCAGCAAUGCCGCGUGUGUGAAGAAGGCCUUCGGGUUGUAAAGCACUUUUGUCCGGAAAGAAAUCCUUGGCUCUAAUACAGUCGGGGGAUGACGGUACCGGAAGAAUAAGCACCGGCUAACUACGUGCCAGCAGCCGCGGUAAUACGUAGGGUGCAAGCNUUAAUCGGAAUUACUGGGCGUAAAGCGUGCGCAGGCGGUUUGCUAAGACCGAUGUGAAAUCCCCGGGCUCAACCUGGGAACUGCAUUGGUGACUGGCAGGCUAGAGUAUGGCAGAGGGGGGUAGAAUUCCACGUGUAGCAGUGAAAUGCGUAGAGAUGUGGAGGAAUACCGAUGGCGAAGGCAGCCCCCUGGGCCAAUACUGACGCUCAUGCACGAAAGCGUGGGGAGCAAACAGGAUUAGAUACCCUGGUAGUCCACGCCCUAAACGAUGUCAACUAGUUGUUGGGGAUUCAUUCCUUAGUAACGUAGCUAACGCGUGAAGUUGACCGCCUGGGGAGUACGGUCGCAAGAUU
rnacentral:rRNA from 1 species